rnacentral:lncRNA from 1 species
CCGACAGAGGGAUUUUUGAGGUCAUGUCUGAUCCUUGAGAGUAAAGGAUGCUAGCAAAUAAAGGAACUCUCAAAAACACUCCGUGGGGAAUAUUUAGCUGCAUGAGCCCCGAGACGGACCAGAGACAGUUAUGUGAUUUCUUUGUGAUAUGACGCAUUUCAUGAGAGCAUGUAAUUAAUGAACUAUUUUCUAUGUUUCUACUC